CAGCAGUAGCCGCGGUAAUGCGAAGGGGGCUAGCGUUGUUCGGAUUUACUGGGCGUAAAGCGCACGUAGGCGGCUUGGUAAGUUAGAGGUGAAAGCCUGGAGCUCAACUCCAGAAUUGCCUUUAAGACUGCCGAGCUAGCAGGUGAGAGAGGUAAGUGGAAUUCCGAGUGUAGAGGUGAAAUUCGUAGAUAUUCGGAAGUACACCAGUGGCGAAGGCGGCUUACUGGCUCAUACUGGACGCUGAGGUGCGAAAGCGUGGGGAGCAAACAGGAUUAGAUACCCCAGUAGUCCCUGUCUCUUAUAA
rnacentral:rRNA from 1 species